GGCGAACGCUGGCGGCGUGCUUAACACAUGCAAGUCGAACGGAAAGGCCCUGCUUUUGUGGGGUGCUCGAGUGGCGAACGGGUGAGUAACACGUGAGUAACCUGCCCUUGACUUUGGGAUAACUUCAGGAAACUGGGGCUAAUACCGGAUAGGAGCUCCUGCUGCAUGGUGGGGGUUGGAAAGUUUCGGCGGUUGGGGAUGGACUCGCGGCUUAUCAGCUUGUUGGUGGGGUAGUGGCUUACCAAGGCUUUGACGGGUAGCCGGCCUGAGAGGGUGACCGGCCACAUUGGGACUGAGAUACGGCCCAGACUCCUACGGGAGGCAGCAGUGGGGAAUAUUGCACAAUGGGCGGAAGCCUGAUGCAGCAACGCCGCGUGCGGGAUGACGGCCUUCGGGUUGUAAACCGCUUUCGCCUGAGACGAAGCGUGAGUGACGGUAAUGGGUAAAGAAGCACCGGCUAACUACGUG
rnacentral:rRNA from 1 species